rnacentral:tRNA from 1 species
AGCAGUGUGGCUUAGUGGAAAGAGCAUGGGCUUGGGAGUCAGAGGAUGUGGGUUCUAGUCCCACUUCCGCCU